rnacentral:ncRNA from 1 species
GUAAAUGCAGUGAUUAGGAUAUGGAUUUUAUCACACGACUUAACAGAGAGGGAAGGCUUGGCUGUAAACUUCCUAAGUACGCGGUAAUUAUUUACUCCCUAUGAGCAGCAAGAGGGUUAAAUCUCUUGCCGUCCCCAGCACGUUAGCUGAUGUAGGAGCUUCGUCUGAACUUUGUUCGGAAGGAAGAAGGGUGGAACCACGAGCACAAGCCUCGUCCCUUUU